rnacentral:tRNA from 1 species
UAUAUUUUAGUAUAUGAUGUACAGAAGUUUUUGAUACUUUAGGGGAAGGUUUAACUCCUUUAAAUAUAA